rnacentral:lncRNA from 10 species
GCUGGCAUCCCAGGGUGACUUCACCAUGGGCUGUCAUCGCUGAGGCCAUAAAAAGCCAAAAGCACUACCCUUGAGUCAUCCUAGCCCCUUGGAGCCAAAAACGUAGCAACGUCACGUCUGUAGUUGACCUCGGUUCCGGGCACCUUCCUGAGCAUUCUUCGGGAGGCACUUGUGAAACUCAGCCCAGGUGCUGCCCAGGAUCAGGAGGCUGAGACGUGAUCUGGAAGUGAGUGCCCAUCCAUACACCUUCCCCAGCUUUGGGGCCACAGAGGGACAGAAACCGCAGGCAGGCUGGCCUGGGAAUGAACCUACACCAGCCUGAAGUCAGAAGAGCCUCUAGGAGCCUCCAGCCUGGACUCUUUUUACAGAUGGGGAAACUGAGUCCCAGAGAGGGAGCAAUGAAGGAUGUCUAAGGUCAUCAGCAACGUAAAGCCAACAGCAUCAUCCUGAGUCAUGUUUGAACCUGAGGGAAAGAAACAUAUGUUCGAAGAGGUUCUGAGGCUGCUGCACCCGAUAUCAUACCUGGUUGGCCCUGGGAAAGGGCCCACCUCCAAUACAUAAACACAACCAGCUUUGACAGUGAGCCCUGAAGCAUGGCAUUGAGAAGCUGCCUAAGAAGGAGGCAGAUCCAUCAGCCUGGGUGCCCGACUGAUUACCCUGAGCAGAGCUCCCCAGCCCACCUGUGAUGGACGCAUGGAGCUUGAGCAAGGAAUAAAUAUUCGUUGCUUCCUGAGAACCCCACUGCGGAUGAGAACAAACGUUUGUUCGGCUGACCCUUUCUCAGAUCCCGCCCACUGAGAAGUGACAGUCCCUCCUCUCCCCGCCUCUCCCUGACCCCCAGCUCUCCGCGGCGGGAUCUGAGCCCUCUCCUGCUGGACUUGUGGUACUUGCUGAACAAUCUCGUGUUGUUGUCUGCCCGCUGGGAGAGAACACUGAUAAGAGAGGCGAUUAGGUGACUAAAUCUGCUGGCUGCCCUUACACAAUGCCAGCAGGGACUCUGAUUACACUGGACCUAUCCAAGAUCUGAGAUCAUCAACUCAUCUCAAAAUCCUUAAGCUGACCACAGCAGCAUCGUCCCUUUUGCAGUGUAAGGGAGCCCAGCUGGGACAAUGUGUGAAUCAACGCAUGAAGGAGUGAGUGAGCAGCUAACCAAAUGAAAGAAUACUCAGAUAUCUGGGGUACAGUUCCCCUCCAGGUUUGCACAGCAUCUGCUGAAGUCUCCACUAGAAACUCAAUGGAAGGUCCCCACCGGAAACUGAAAGUCUCCUAGAGUGGCUUUGAGUUGCGGUUUCACCCUCCCUGCAGAUCCACAGGGGAGGCUGGGGCAGAUGGAAAAUACCAACUUGAUGGUCUGUGGCCACACCAUGCUGCUCCCCAAGGCCCCUCAGAAUUUCACUGCCCAAUAUGGUAGCGCCCAGCCUGAAACGUGGCCAGUGUGAAUUGAGAUGGGCUGGAAAUGCACCAGACUUCCAAGAGCUGGACAAAAACCAUAUACUUUCCAUCCAGCUGUUUGGCAUUGGAUACUGCUGCCUCUGCUUGACUUGAGAAUGUGUGAGAAAAGCUGUGUUUAGACAACUGAAAACCAUGAGCUUGAAAGUAGUGGGGGCACACUCUUGGAGACUCCAGUUGCUCACCAGCUUGGACAAACCACUGGACUCAAAUGAUCAGGUAGAAAUUCAUCACUGGAGAGAACACAGUGGAAUGGCUUCAGCGAAAACUCACUCUGAAGGUCUUCAGGGCAACUUUAAGACUUGCCCCUGGCCGGGCACAGUGGCUUAUGCCUAUAAUCCCAGCACUUUGGGAGGCCGAGGCGGGUGGAUCACCUGAGGUCAGGAGUUCAAGACCAGCCUGGCCAAUAUGGCGAAACCCUGUCUCUACUAAAAAUCCAAAAAAUUAGCCGGGCGUGGUCGUGGGCGCCUGUAAUCCCAGCAACUCGAGAGGCUGAGGCAGGAGAAUUGCCUGAACCCGGGAGGCAGAGUUUGAAGACAGCCGAGAUUGCACCACUGGGCAACAAGAGCAAAACUCCAUCUCAAAAAAAAAAAAAAAAAAAAAAAUACUUGCCCCGGCUUUUUGUGUGAUGGACUUUCUAUUUACAGACGUGAUAUUUAUCUAUGACUUUACUCAGAGUCUGGCUCAUAGACCAGAAGGACUGGUAUCUCCUGGAGCUUGCAGGAAAUGCAAAAUCUCAAACCCCUGUAUUAGUCAGGGUUCUCCAGAGAAGUAGAGCCAAUGGGAUAGAGACAGGGAUAGGGAUGAUAGAGAUGGAGAUAGAGGUAGAGAUCCAUUGAUUCCUCUGUUAAUAAAUUGGCUCAUGCAGUUGUGACAAUUUCGAAAUCUGCAAGGUAUGUCAGCAAGCUGGAGACCCAGGGAACAGUUGAUGUUGCACCUUGAGUACAAAGGCAGUGUGUCUGGAGCCAUAAUAUCUUCUUGUUAGGAAGACUUUGGUCUUUUCUCUUCUGGCCUUCAACUGCUUGGGUGAGGCCCGUCCCCACUACAGAAGACAAUAGUCUGUUCUACUCAGAGUCUACUGAUUUAAAUGCUCAUCUCAUCCCAAAAAAUACCCUCACAGCAACAUUUAGCCUGUGCAUUUGACCAAACAACUGGGUACCAUGCCCCCCCUCCCAAGUUGACACACAAAAUUGACCAUCAUACCCUCCCCACCCCCAGUCUUACUGAAUGAGAGAGAAUCUGUGCUUCAACAAGAUCCCCAGAAGAGGUAUAAGCGCAGGGAAGUCUGAGAAGCACCACCUUUGAGGCUUAUCCAGGAUGCCCACAUGAGCCUUCUCUGGAUAUGUCAGAUCCCCUUCCUGGCCCCCUAGACACCUCCUCCACUCCCCAAACUUGGAAGCAACAUUGUGGGGAAGCAGGCAGUGAGGCGCUCAGUCUACCACGUUGUGAGAUACACAGCUCCAUCUGUGUAUCAUGAUUUGAUCCAAGGGAAAACAAAAGAUCCAGAAACAUAAGUACUUUUUUGUGAGCUCUCAAAAACUUCCUGUGACAAGAUCAGGUCGUUGAUGCGAGAGCCACACUUGUUUCUUUUUCCUCUUUAUUCUCCACCUCUGACAUAAUACUUAGCAUAAAAAAAAAUCCAAUAAACACCACUGAAUCAAUUAUCUAAGCCUCAGUUUCCCUCUUGUAAUAUGUACUUACCUGGUUGUGGUAGGAAAGACACCAGGCAUGAGAAACACUUAAAAGCCCAGGACCCUGAGCUGGGCACAUGGUAGGUACUCAGGAAGUCAUUGCCGAGUGUUCAGUGCAUGCUUGUUGAAUGAGUAAAUGAGGUCAGGCUUCAGCAUGCAAACACUCGCUAUAAAGCAGGAACCCUGUGCCCUGAGUGCACAAAAUAGAUAUCGAGAAGGAACACAGGCUCAGACAUCAGUGCCAUAUCUGAAGACAUUCAGCUAAUAACAGGAUGGAGUCCAAUCUGCUGGUGUGUGCACACCUGUGCCUGGGUGUCUUUGCUGGUGUGUGCACAUGUGUCUACAUGUGUGGUCGUGAGAGUACACACAGGGGCUGGAGGGUGGGGAAGGGCUUAAUCUAAUCCUGAAAGUGCCAGCAGAACUCUUGGGUGUCCCUCAAAGUCAAGCUUCUUUCCAGGUCAUCGAAGUUUUCACUUGGGUAAUAAUGCACGCAUAAUUAACUGAACAAAUAUAAUGAAUCUAUCUGUAGUGACAUGAUAGUUGGUGCUGAAUCCUAUUAGAGCACAUUUAAUUAAAAAUGCAUUAAACCUUCAAGCUUCUAAACACACCCUGCGCUUCUUCAAAGCCGCCCCUCCGUUAAAGUCUUCCCCACUAUUAACUAUGAGUCAGCCUGUGACCCUUUGGGCAUGACGGGGUGAGGUGAAGUGGCUCUUAAAUGCCUGUGCCAGUAUAUCACAGGCACUAAUGGAUUUAAAUCAGGGAGAUUAAUUCCAUUCAUUCGGCUCCUCAUUUCAGAAACAACUGUCACGCUGAGCCUAAUUGCUGAAGAUGGUUGAAGGCACCAGGAGGCUGGAGUUUCCUGGAGGUGGUUUGUGGCCAACCGUCAAUUACUUGGGCUGCUGUGCAGUGGGGAUAGAAGGAUGAUUAGAAUCCACAGACAACCCAUUGGCCUUUGUUUACCAUUAACUUCUGUUUUCUCCACCAGCCAAGCUCCUCCAGACCCAGGAGAUGGCUCUUCCCUCUGUGUAGCACACUCUUUCCAGUCAAGGGGUCUUGCACUGCUAUUUCCCCUUCUGCUUUGCUUGGUUCAUUCUUACUGACCCUCCAAAUACUGAAGGAAUGAAUGGAGAAAUAAGUAAAUGAGAGAUGUGGCCAAGAGUCUCCAAGAGAGGAAAUUAAAAAAUCCUAUACCUGUGAGGAACUGGCCCACUUGCAAAAGGCGGACUCAUUUGUCACUGUGUUUGCUGGCUGCUCGCACCACACAGUUUCCAGCCUAGGCAUUAUUUCCAACCUCUUUUUCCAAAGGGUCUUUCUAAGGUACAGAAAAUGGACAUAAAAUCGCCCAACGUAGUUGAGAGGUAAGGAGUAAAAGCCGGAAUUUGAACUCCUAAUCUCCUGCCACGAUUUCAUGCUGCCUCUGGGUAAUCUCCCAGCACGUUGCUUAAUCAGCUGCUGAGUCAUUGAGAGCCGGCAGAACCAGCUUCCUGCUGAGGCAGAGUGGGAGGAGGCCCGUCUGGGAGCAGCACACUGAAGGAAGGGAGGAGGAGGUGAUGUUUGGCACAAUCGGAUUGGUUCCCAUGAGGUCCAGGGCUGCGGCUCCUACAGAAGGCACUUUUUGCAUAUGGUAGGCUUCACGGGGUGCAACCUCUGUGUUGUUAGGAGAACCUCGUGCUUGCUAUGAUGCUCUGCUGUCAUUAUCUUGAAAUUCUUAGUCACAUUAAAACACGGGAGCCUACAUGUUUAUUUUGCACUGGAUCCUGCAAAUUAGCCAGUCCUGGUACUGAGGGCAGGUCCCUGGGUGAGUCUCACACAGCCUCCAUCCUUUGGUAAAGCAGCUUUCCUGAUUUAGCAAAUGCCUUACCAGAAAGCCUUUUCCUUGAAGAUGCUUUAACUUUUGUCUUCCCUGGCAAAGCUGUUUCCUUAUGGUAAAGCACCCAGCUCAUAGCUGAUAUUCAAUCCAUGAAGUAGCUCUGUCAGCAGCUGUCAUCAUGAAGACUUUGCAGCCUGCGGGUGGUAGCAUUCUGAAUCGUCAGUCUGUCUCGCUCCUGUAGCAAAUGCACGAUCCGGGAAAGCAUGUCCCAAGCUUUGUUCUGGAGAAGAUUUCUCCAGCUAUCAGAUGGUGUCUGUCAUCACAAUAGCUUAGGAGAUGCUGCUCACUCCAUCCUCCUCACUAAGUGUCACAGUACACUUGGGUAUGUACAAGUCUCUGAGAAGUCCAGCAGCAAAGACACCUUUGUGUUUUGCUGAUUCUAGCCUUUCCUAGACUAGAAGUCUUUUUUUCUAGUCUAGGAAAAGACUGUGGAAUCUUUUCUUUUUUUUCCUGAUACACACAUUCACAUUCCGUGGAACAUUUAGGACGUGGUUAUCUGGUCCUAAAGUAGUAAAGGUGAAGAUGUUGUGGGAGGUGCAAGAAAGAGCAGCAAGGAGUAGAUGGGGCACACUGCAAAGUGCGAUCCCCACAUACCUAAGUUAGUAUCAAUUACUACUAACAAAACUCGGCCAAGACUCUUUUGCAUUCGUUUUGUUUCUCUCUUUUACCCUGAUUAUAUUAAGAAAUAUGACAGGCCUGUGACUCACUGAUUAGACCAUCUUAGUCACUUUGGGUUGUCCCAGCAACAGGAGACUUAACUCUGACCAUAGGUAAGGAGCCCAGAGGACAGGAGAGCAGGGAUUUCUGAGGAUUUAACAAAUGCUUAUAAACAAAUGAUAUCACUUUGAACAAAGUAAUCAAAGUAUCAAAUGCUAUAAACACCACAGUAGGGCAAUGUGUGAAUCAUACUUGUGGUGAGACAUACAUAGAUCAGCUGCAAAGAGGAACUCAAUUCUGCAGAACCUCAGCUGGAGUAACUGAUGUGAAACAUGGACAGGGAAAUGGAAGGAAGUCAGCGGACACGGAAACUCUAGGAACUGAACUUUGACAAGGAACGCCGUCCAUAAUCCCAAGUCCUAUGACUUCAUAGAGGAAAAAAACCCUAGUGGAGCAGAACAGGGCCUCAUAGAGGGGCUGGGGCCUCACUGAGGGCUGGGAAGUUUGAUAGGACUUCCCUUGCUGGUAAGGAACAAAACUGGGUCUCAGGUUCAGGUUUGUAAAGCUAAUUUCAUACAUUUGCAGCAGAUGCUGUCAGUGUCCCUCCCCAAGCCCCUCAGCACUCAGCAUUCAUAGACAUCCUCAUCUUGCAAGCACCUGAGUCUCUCUCUGUAAGGUUUCUGUUGGCCUCAGGGCAGACCAGGGUACCAGGGAGGGCAGACCAGGGUACCAGGGAGCACAGCCCUCAAAGAAAGAUGACAGGAGUUGGUGUAAAUCUCAUGGCUUUCAUGUUACUUAGGGGGACCAAUGCUGAGGCAUGCUUAGCAUGAUCCUCUGUGAGACUGGGCCUCAGGUGUCCGCUGCAGCCGCCUGUUCAUUAGUGUGACAUGCACGGGAUUCCUUCCGUAUCCUGGCCCCUUUCUCUACUUCCCAACCGUGCUUCCUGAGACAUACUCAAAUCCUUGUCUCACACUUGGCUUCUGGGAGAAUCCAACUGCAAAUGCUGUGUUUUAUUUUUUAUUUAUGUAUUUAAUUAUUUGGAGAUAGGGUCUCCCUCUGUCACCCAGGCUGGAGUAAAAUGGCACAAUCCUAGCUCACUGCAAUAUUAAACUCCUGGGCUCCAGUAAUCCUCAGCCUCCAGGAGCUGGAACUACAGUCGUGCACAGCAAUGCCAGCUAAAGUUUCCUUUAAAUUUUUUGUAGAGUCAAGAUCUCACUAUUUCAGUCAGGUCUUGAACUCCUUGCCUCCCAAAGUUCUGGGAUUACAGCACUUGGCCUCCCAAAGUGCUGGGAUUACAGGCGUGAGCCACUGCAUCUGGCUGUUUAUUCCAUUAAAAUGAUUGAAGGAGUCUCUUGCUUUGGGAAUUUUGCUCCCGUGGUGAGAACACUAUGGGAAUGACAUCUCAAGAAUAUGGCUCCUUCAAAUGAAUUUAAAAUGGUCUUUCUAUUUUUGUCCAGUGGUUACAAUAGCUGAUGGGCUCGAGGUAAGGAGAUGCUAAGCUGCCAUUCUCUCCUUCAACCCAUGGCAUUUACUGAGCUUCUAAAUCAGUCAGGCCCUGGGCUGGACCCUGGGCAUGCAGACUGAAUCAGAGCCUUCAGGACUAGCAGGAGAGACAGGUAUAUAUAGUGGCAAGGGCAAUAUUUAUUCACUCAUUCAUUCUUUUUCCUUUUUUAUGUGCCAAAUCUUUAAUGAGGGCCUACCUUGUACUCAGGAACACCAGGAAUAAACAGAAAACAAAAAGAUAUCAUUUCUGGACUCAGUUCACCAUCUAGAGAAAAAAAAAAAAAAAAAAAAAGACCUGAAAUGGACAAAUACAGUACUGUUUGACAAAUGUCACGUAAGAAGAAGCCCAUGAUACUGAGGAUGGUAUAGGAGGGGCCGUAUCCAGGUUGAAGGAGUCAAAUAUGACAGCUGCCGUGAGAAUUACAAUCAGAAAACCAUGACCCGGAUGCUUAUCCUAUUCAUUGCUUGAGCCUGAGAACACAAACACACAGGGUGUGGCUGAAAUUCCUCUGAAAUUGUAUUGAUUUGAGAAAACUGCAAUCUUGUGUUAAAAUGUGAAUCAUACACAAGGAUGCAAAACAGUUACCGCUGACCAUAAAUCUAGGCUAUCAGAAUGGAAUCUGAUGGCUUGUCUACCAGACUGCAUUGUGAAACCAAUCAAAUGGGAGAUAGACUCACCACUUACCAAGUACCUCUGAGACACCAGGCACCCUGUGGGGUGCCCUACUCAUCAUCUUGUUUAACCAGUUGAUUGGGAAUAGCUCCAUUUUACAGAGAAAGACUGUUAGGCAGCUUUCUAAGAUGGCCCUAAUUAUUCCUUCCUUCUGGUAAUCCCCUUCCUUUAAAUGUGGGCUACACUUAAUUACCUGCUUUUAACAAACAGAAUAUAGCAAAAGUGAUGGGAUGUCAGGAGACUGAAUCAGUAACCAAAAACCUCCAGACAAAGAAAAGCCCAGGGCCAGAGGGCUUCACUGGUAAAUUUACCAAACAUUUAAAGAAGAAUUAGCACCAGUCUUUCUCAAACUCCUCAACAAAUUGAAGAGGAGAGAACACUUCUAAAUACACUUUAUGAGGCCAGCAUUACCCUAACAUCAGAGCCAGACAAAGACACAAGAAAAGAAAACUACAGACUAAUAUUUCUAAUGAAUCUUGAUGCACAAAUCCUCAAAAAAGAAGAAAACAUACUAGCAAACAUAAUUCAGCCGCACAUUAAAAGGAUUAAGCACCAUGACAAAGUGGGAUUUAUUCUUAGUAUAAAAGGAUAUUUCAACGUAAAAAAGUCAAUGUAAUAUAUCACAUUAAUAGAAUGAUGAGAAAAAAUCCACAAGAUUAUCCCAAUUGAUGCAUUUAACAAAACUUAAUACUCUUUCAUGAAAAAACACUCAACAAACCAGGAAUACAUGAAACUACCCCAACAUAAGACAGUCCACAAAUGAAAAGCUCACAACCAACAUAAUACUCAUGGUGAAAAGCUGAAAGCUUCCUCUAAGAUCAGGAAUGAGACAAAAAUGUCCACUUUUGAAUCAACCUGUAUUCAACAUAGUAUAAGAAGUCCUCGCCAGAAUUUUCAGGAAAAAAAAAAAAGAAAGAAAAAAAAGCCAGUCAAAUUGAAAAGAAAGAAGAAAAAUUAUCUUUGCUCACAAAUGACAUGAACUUAUAAAACUCCUAGAAUUAAUAAAUGGAUGCUGCAAUGUUGAAGGAUACAAAAAUCAACACACAAAAAUCAGUUAUGUUUUUAUAUACUAACAAUGAAUGAGCCAAAAAUGAAAUUAAAACAAUUCCAUUUACAAUAGCAUCAGAAAGACUAAAAUACCUAACAAUAAACUUAACCAAGGAGGUAAAAUGCUUGAGUAUUUAGACACUAAAAAUUAUAAGGCCUGCACGGUGGUUCAUACCUGUAAUCCCAGCAUUUUGGGAGGCAGGUGGAUCACUUGAGGUUAGGAGUUUGAGACCAGCCUGGCC